UAUGUAUUUGUAGGGGAACAUGGUCUGAACAGGUGAUUGAGCACCAGGUGCAGUUGAUGUCUGACCCAGGGGCCACCCCUCACAGGGCUCAUUUAAGUGCUAGCCUCCAAAGAGGGACUCUUUUUCUCUCUCCUGAAAAGGAGUGUUCUAUAGCCUGAAGAGCCUUAUUUCUUGUCAGCCCUCUGAAGUUGCCUACAGCUCUCUCUACUCCCCUAUGUUCAUAGGUGGGACUACACAUAUGUGCAAGGAUCACCAAAAUGGAAGAACUCAGUGACACACCUUUGCUUCAUCUGUACUUCCAUGUCAGAAUGCCCCUCUACUGCUGUCCCACAGCAACAAAAUGUAACAGCACUGGUGGGAGGGUUCAACCUCUGCUGCCACACCACUGAAACCUGCCUUUGAUAUUAUGGGCCAAUGUCCUAAAAUAGGAUGCAUUACUUUUAAAGCAGUUCUCAGGGGUCAAAUGUUACAGCAGUAAAUGUAGAGACUGGAUGGAAUAAUAGUUUGGAUUCACAUUAUUAAUCUGAUGUCUAUGUUGAUGUUUCUGACAGCAACUAAUUAGGCAGAACUCCUACUUUGCUUGUUGAAGCAGAUAUCUCAAGAUGCUAAUUAAUAAGAACAUACCUCCUACAUAUAGUAGAAAUUUUUAAGGAAAUGUCUCUACUCUCUUAUUUAAAUUGACCAUUACACUGUUACAUGACCAAUUGGUGAUACUCUAAAAAGACAAAAUUGUCAAGAUCAUUAGCAACCCCUGUUCAGAUAGCUUUACUUUGGCCAGCUAGCUCUGUGUCAUUUAUGUCUAAAAGGCACUCAAUUCAAGCAAAAAUGCUGGUGGUAUCAAAGACAGGAAAUCAGUCUGAUGUGUAUUAACUAAGAUCUCAAAGAUGAUAACUUGCUUUCCAGUUGUUGCUCAGUAGCCACAUUCAUAAAUGUGAGCUUGUGGUUAGUUGACAUACUAAAUGAACAGACUCCUGUGGCUGCCUGUUUUGCCAGCUGUUGGCUAGAGGGAAGGUGCAAGGGAUGUGAUACAGUGUUUUGCAUUCCUUGUGGAGAGCCUUCAGAUGGAGAUCAUACAUGUGAAUGACAAGGCAGCAUCAAAUCAUGGCAGCCUCAACUAGAUG